UGAGUGGAAAAAGCCCUUGUGUUUGAUGUGGUCGGUGUUCAGGGUUUAUCCGCUCGGUGUUUACGGAAACCGUGUUAACAUGGUUUUAUAACCCCCCCCGCUCUCUUUGCAGGACAUGGUAGUGUUGUUGCUGUUGUUGACCUUCUGCUGCGCCUUAUUCGGUUCAUCUGCUGAUUUUGAGAAUAAAGAAAAGUGCUAUGGCAGACAUUUAAGAUUUCCGGGCCGGUAUACACCACCUUUAUUCCGCGGACAGAUGUACUUCACUCCGAGUGAUGGGGGACCGACGAGGCUACUGUUGGAUGAUGGGGAGGUAAUGGAUCGACGCAUCGAAAUAAGGGAACUUGGAGUUUUUUUAACAGAUUUGAGAGAAAGUGAUGUUGGAAUAUAUUCCGAGUCACCUGACGGGAAAAAAGACAAAUUCAUCAGACUGAAAGUUUUGGAUUGUUCCACUGAGAUCACAAACACUUCUGGGGCUAGGAUCACCUUCGAUGUUCCUACAGAGGCUCAAUAUCUGCAGUUCACUCCCCUUUACACGAAUCACACAAGGAUAGUGUGGCAUCAAGACGACCCUCUGCUUAGUGAGGGAGGCAGAGGACAGAUGACCUCUCUCGGCUGGGAGAUAAUCAACCUCACUCCAGAAGACAGCGGCUACUACGACAUGAGGCGAAAAGACUACUAUUUAGUGUCGAGGAUAAGGCUCACAGUAGAAGGUGAUCUUGGGAACUUAGGUGCCGCUUGUGAGCUUUCAGACUGCUGUGUAUCUGAUUAAAUGUUCUUCAAAAUAACGACAACCUUUCUUCUUCUUCUCCUUCUUCUUCAUUUCUGCUCUUACAGGACCUAUUCCCACAUAUGUUUAUGCUGCUAUCGCUGGUGGGAUUGUCUUAGCGGUGAUUGUCUGCUUUUGCUGUGUGAGGAAGUGCUGUUGUAAAAAGGACUCUUCCAAACGGGACGAGUCAGCGCCUGCUGCUGUGUAUUACCAUGUAAGUACUACUCAGACCAACUGUUUAUAAUGUGUGUAUUCAGGGGUGUAGAUCCGAUGUCAGGAUUGGGGGACACACAAAAGUGUUUUUUUAUUUUUUUGCAACUCAUACCAUGCCACCAUAAAUCACAACUUCGUAGAGACUCACCAUAUCAUUAAAAAAGUAAUGCACAGGGAAUCAUUUAUUGUGCUUACCUUUCAUGUUUAUUUGUCCUAAACAGCCAACAGCGUGUAUCACUACUUACUUAACUGUUAUAUUAGUAAAUCAUAAUUUUAAGGGUCUCAAGCAUUUAAUGUCUACUCAUGUUCUUAUCUUUCACCUCCCUCCAACCCUCCCAGAUCCCCAAUUCUUCGCACCAUCUUCCUUUUCUCCCAGUGUAUGGGACUACUUUAUGCAUGAUUAAUUGAUAUUGAUGAAUAUCAAAAUAUGAAGCCCUAACCAAGCUGUGUAAACUAACUGAUCAUUUUACCCAUACCCAUUCAUUUGCAUUGUAGUGGAGGAGACCAGAGAUGGAAUGUGGACUCAGAAAUAUAUUUGUCAAACAUUAUUUGUUCCACCAUUUCAAUAAUUUAUUUUUAGAUGUGAAUCUAAAAUGUUAAGAAUGUGUCUGAAAAUACAUUUGUUCAAUUUUGAAUAAUUUAGGGUAUUUUUAUUGGGGGGGACAAUUCAUGUUUUUCAGAAAUUGCCCCCAGGAUCUGCACCCAUGUGGGUAUUUGAUGUUUACUUCAUAAUUUUCGUUCCAGUCGCGGGAUCAGAACCAACCUGCUGGCCCAAACUCCUCUGCUGCACCUCCUCCAGAUUACUCUUAUCAUUCAGUGAAGCCCCCUGCUUAUGAAGAAGCUGCAGCUAACUCCGUUGGGCCAUCGGUAGGUGUUAUUAACAGUUUUUAAACUGUGAGUUGCUUCGUCAGGAGUGCACUUUCUUUCAGCACUGACACACUUGCAUUUUGUUCUUACCUUGCAGGCGCACAACCCAGUGAAUAUCCACAUGAACCCCCUCCAGCCUGAGGUACACACAUGAACAUAGAAUAACCCUAACCUGUUAAUAUACUGGAAUCAGAGUCUCUUGGUAUAAAUCAA
ensembl:lncRNA